UCUGAUCUUUUCUUCAGCAGUAUCGACUUUCUAGGAAGAUCCUUCACAACAAGCAAUAGUAAGUGAAAUGAUCAUUUCAUCAACUACCACUAUUGAUCAUUACCUCAUCCAACUAUAAUACCCAGAACUUGAAAUACAUGCAGCACAUGAUACCUGAUAGUAAAAAAAAACCAAAUGUGAAAUGGUAAAAAUUAAAAAUUGGGAAAUAAUCAAUAAAAAUAAAAGCAAAAAGCAUAGUAAAACCUCCCCC
rnacentral:lncRNA from 1 species